rnacentral:rRNA from 1 species
AUGGACACGGCAAACAUGUGCACCGUGGAGAGGCGCGGCCGCGUCCACCUCAUCACCCUCACCGGCGCCGGCGAGCACCGCCUCAGCCCAGCCCUCAUCUCCGCCAUCCGCGCCGCCGUGGCCGCCUGCCCCGGCGCCGGCGCCCUCGUCCUGGCCGCCGAGGGCAAGUACUUCUCCAACGGCUUCGACCAGGCCUGGGCGCGCACGGUCCCGCCCCACCUCCACACCACCAUGAGCGAGGGCUUCCGGGGCCUCGUCGCCGACCUGCUCGCGCUCCCCAUGCCCACCGUGGCCGCCGUCACGGGCCACGCCGCCGCCGCCGGCUGCGCGCUGGCCCUCGCGCACGACUCCGUCGUCAUGCGCGCCUCCCGCGGGUUCCUGUACAUGAGCGAGGUCGACGCCGGCAUCAAGAUCGUCGACUACUUCGGGGAGCUGCUCCGGCAGAAGGUCCCCGACGCCGCGACCAGGCGGGACAUGCUCCUCAGGGGGGACAAGAUGACGGCCGCGGAGGCGGUGCGGCGGGGCGUGGUGGACGCGGCCGCGGACGGCGGCGUCGAGGACGUGGUGGCCGCGGCCGUCGCGGCGGCCGAGGGGCUCGCGGCGAGGGGGUGGGACGGGGAGGUCGUGGCCGAGAUCAGGAAGGCCAUGUGGCCCGCCGUGUGGGGCAAGGUCAAGGACUACGGCGCCGACGCGGUGGCGGCGCGGCCGCGGCUGUAG